AAUGAACGCUGGCGGCGUGCUUAACACAUGCAAGUCGAGCGGUAAGGCCCUUUCGGGGGUACACGAGCGGCGAACGGGUGAGUAACACGUGGGUGACCUGCCCUCAGCUCUGGGAUAAGCCUGGGAAACCGGGUCUAAUACCGGAUAUGACUCCAUGACGCAUGUUGUGGGGUGGAAAGCCUUGUGCGGCUGAGGAUGGGCCCGCGGCCUAUCAGCUUGUUGGUGGGGNGAUGGCCUACCAAGGCGACGACGGGUAGCCGGCCUGAGAGGGCGACCGGCACACUGGGACUGAGACACGGCCCAGACUCCUACGGGA
rnacentral:rRNA from 1 species